rnacentral:rRNA from 1 species
GCCUUGCCACGCCCGCUACAGAAACUUAAAGGAAUUGACGGGGGCCCCGCACAAGCGGUGGAGCAUGUGGUUUAAUUCGAUGAUACGCGAGGAACCUUACCUGGGCUCAAAUGUAUGUUGACGUAUUUCUGAAAGGGAUACUUCUUCGGACAAUAUACAAGGUGCUGCAUGGUUGUCGUCAGCUCGUGCCGUGAGGUGUCGGGUUAAGUCCCAUAACGAGCGCAACCCCUAUCAUUAGUUGCCAUCAGGUCAAGCUGGGGACUCUAAUGAAACUGCCUACGCAAGUAGUGAGGAAGGUGGGGAUGACGUCAAAUCAGCACGGCCCUUACGUCCAGGGCUACACACGUGCUACAAUGGCCGGUACAACGGGAAGCGAGUUCGCGAGGACGAGCGGAUCCCUCAAAGCCGGUCGCAGUUCGGAUUGAAGUCUGCAACUCGACUUCAUGAAGCUGGAAUCGCUAGUAAUCGUGGAUCAGCCAAGCCGCGGUGAAUACGUUCCCGGGCCUU